rnacentral:sRNA from 1 species
UUACUCAUGAUUUGCGGACACUAUGUCCAA